AAUCAACGCUGGCGGCGUGCCUCAGACAUGCAAGUCGAACGCGAAAUUUCCCUUCGGGGAGAAAGUAGAGUGGCGCACGGGUGAGUAACACGUAGGUAAUUUGCCUUUGGGUGGGGAAUAACUCAGGGAAACUUGAGCUAAUACCGCAUAAUGCAGCGGCUCGACAUCGAGACAGUUGUUAAAGCGGGGGAGUUGGAGCAAUCCGACCUCGCGCCUAAAGAGAAGCCUGCGGCAGAUUAGCUAGUUGGUAAGGUAAUGGCUUACCAAGGCGACGAUCUGUAACCGGCCUGAGAGGGCGGUCGGUCACACUGACACUGACAUACGGGUCAGACUCCUACGGGAGGCAGCAGUCGGGAAUUUUGGGCAAUGGGCGCAAGCCUGACCCAGCAACCGCCGCGUGAAGGAUGAAAUUUUUCGGAAUGUAAACUUCGACAAGAAACAGGAAGAAUAAGUGUGGGACAAUACCCCACAUGAUGGCGGUACUGUUUGUAAGCUCCGGCUAACUCCGU
rnacentral:rRNA from 1 species